CAGAUCUGCCCAUCAUCACCACUACCACCACCACCACCACCACAGUGGCCACCUCCACGAGGGCCAGCGAGUCCCCUCGACGCUGGUCCAAUAUGUCACAAAAUGUGCCUACCACAACCAAUAGUUUCUUUGAUAUUCCCAGUUUGUUUGGCGCGGUUAAUGCCGGGAGGAGCGCAGUGGGCUACUCUGCGCGGAGCUGCGCCGGCCUUAUGUUAAUGGUUCUUCUCCACGUUUGGCGGCUAUCUGUGAACCUGUGAACUCUGUGAACCCUUGAACAUCGCGGCUGUUUGUGAACCCUUGAACAUCGCGGCUGUUUGUGAACCCUUGAACAACGCGGCUGUUUGUGAACCCUUGAACAACGCGGCUGUUUGUGAACCCUUGAACAACGCGGCUGUUUGUGAACCCUUGAACAACGCGGCUGUUUGUGAACCCUUGAACAACGCGGCUGUUUGUGAACCCUUGAACAUCGCGGCUGUUUGUGAACCCUUGAACAACGCGGCUGUUUGUGAACCCUUGAACAACGCGGCUGUUUGUGAACCCUUGAACAACGCGGCUGUUUGUGAACCCUUGAACAUCGCGGCUGCCUGUGUGAACCACUGAACAUCGCGGGCUGCCUGUAUGAACCACUGAACAUCGCGGGCUGCCUGUGUGAACCACUGAACAUCGCGGGCUGCCUGUAUGAACCACUGAACAUCACGGGCUGCCUGUGUGAACCACUGAACAUCGCGGGCUGCCUGUGUGAACCACUGAACAUCGCGGGCUGCCUGUAUGAACCACUGAACAUCACGGGCUGCCUGUGUGAACCA